AAAAUCCGGGCGGUUAAGGCUGAGAACUGAUGACGAGUGCUCAUUAGAGCGCGAAGUGGUUGAUGCCAUGCUUCCAAGAAAAGCCUCUAAGCUUCAGAUAACUAGGAACCGUACCCCAAACCGACACAGGUGGUUGGGUAGAGAAUACCAAGGCGCUUGAGAGAACUCGGGUGAAGGAACUGCAAAAUGGCACCGUAACUUCGGGAGAAGGUGCGCCGGUGAGGGUGAAGCAUUUACUGCGUAAGCCCAUGCCGGUCGAAGAUACCAGGCCGCUGCGACUGUUUAUUAAAAACACAGCACUCUGCAAACACGAAAGUGGACGUAUAGGGUGUGACGCCUCCCCGGUGCCGGAAGGUUAAUUGAUGGGGUUAGCUAACGCGAAGCUCUUGAUCGAAGCCCCGGUAAACGGCGGCCGUAACGAUAACGGUCCUAAGGUAGCGAAAUUCCUUGUCGGGUAAGUUCCGACCUGCACGAAUGGCGUAACGAUGGCGGCGCUGUCUCCACCCGAGACUCAGUGAAAUUGAAAUCGCUGUGAAGAUGCAGUGUAUCCGCGGCUAGACGGAAAGACCCCGUGAACCUUUACUAUAGCUUUGCACUGGACUUUGAAUUUGCUUGUGUAGGAUAGGUGGGAGGCUUUGAAGCGAGGACGCCAGUUCUUGUGGAGCCAAUCUUGAAAUACCACCCUGGCAACUUUGAGGUUCUAACUCUGGUCCGUUAUCCGGAUCGAGGACAGUGUAUGGUGGGUAGUUUGACUGGGGCGGUCUCCUCCUAAAGAGUAACGGAGGAGUACGAAGGUGCGCUCAGACCGGUCGGAAAUCGGUCGUAGAGUAUAAAGGCAAAAGCGCGCUUGACUGCGAGACAGACACGUCGAGCAGGUACGAAAGUAGGUCUUAGUGAUCCGGUGGUUCUGUAUGGAAGGGCCAUCGCUCAACGGAUAAAAGGUACUCCGGGGAUAACAGGCUGAUACCGCCCAAGAGUUCAUAUCGACGGCGGUGUUUGGCACCUCGAUGUCGGCUCAUCACAUCCUGGGGCUGAAGCCGGUCCCAAGGGUAUGGCUGUUCGCCAUUUAAAGUGGUACGCGAGCUGGGUUUAGAACGUCGUGAGACAGUUCGGUCCCUAUCUGCCGUGGACGUUUGAGAUUUGAGAGGGGCUGCUCCUAGUACGAGAGGACCGGAGUGGACGAACCUCUGGUGUUCCGGUUGUCACGCCAGUGGCAUCGCCGGGUAGCUAUGUUCGGAAUAGAUAACCGCUGAAAGCAUCUAAGCGGGAAACUAGCCUCAAGAUGAGAUCUCACUGGGACCUUGAGUCCCCUGAAGGGCCGUCGAAGACUACGACGUUGAUAGGUGGGGUGUGUAAGCGUUGUGAGGCGUUGAGCUAACCCAUACUAAUUGCCCGUGAGGCUUGACCGA
rnacentral:rRNA from 1 species